rnacentral:rRNA from 1 species
AUUGAACGCUCGCGGCAGGCCUAACUCACGCUACUCGAUCGGCUUAACGGAGCUUGCUCCUGUAUUCAGCGGCGGACGGGUGAGUCAUGCCUAAGACUCUGCCUCGUAGUCUGGGAUACCGUCCGUCACCGGGCGCUACUACCUCAUACGUCCUGACUGCGAAAGUCUGGGAUCUUCGGACCUCACGCUAUCAGAUGAGCCUAGGUCGGAUUCGCUAGUUGGUGGGGUAAAGGCCUACCAAGGCGACGAUCCGUAACUGGUCUGAGAGGAUGAUCAGUCACACUGGAACUGAGACACGGUCCAGACUCCUACGGGAGGCAGCAGUGGGGAAUAUUGGACAAUGGGCGAAAGCCUGAUCCAGCCAUGCCGCGUGUGUGAAGAAGGUCUUCGGAUUGUAAAGCACUUUAAGUUGGGAGGAAGGGCAGUAAGUUAAUACCUUGCUGUUUUGACGUUACCAACAGAAUAAGCACCGGCUAACUUCGUG